GUCGGGAUAGCUCAGCUGGUAAGCAGAGAUG
rnacentral:tRNA from 1 species